CCGCCGUCAGAAACAAUCUAAAGCAAAUGUAAUAAUAAUCAUAACUUAACAAAUUGCCUUUAUUAUUACUACCGGUUCUAGUAUUACGGCGUACUGCAGUUCUGCGUGUGGUUUGUCCGAGUGGAAUUGCCGGGCCCCAGCAGAAGACGUUGCUGGACUGCUAUGGAUACCUUGUAACUGGUGAUUAUUUCAAAACAAUGACCUACAGUUACCGUGUAGAGCACUGCAAGGUUGGGUGACCAGGGCCACCUGGGACUGCCGCCUGAAGUGUGAAGGCUACCUAUGUACUUCAUGAGGAUGAACACGAGGUCCAGAAGAAGAUCUGCAGCUCACCGCCAUGUGCCAGAGGAGAAGUCUGCUGCUCUGCAGGAUGUUUCAAGGAUGGUAUCCAACAACGCAGCAAGAGAGGCAAUUUGUGUGUGGGAGAUCUUCACCUCCUACUUCUUCGAAGAGGGUGCUGUUCCCUGGCAACACCAUAGACUACACUAUGCACAACCAAAGGCUCUUAAGACCAAUCCACAUUGCAAUAAGAGUAUUCUUCCAUUUACUUAGCUAUGUCAACUGCAGUUUCAAUUGCCAUUUUCUCUCCCUUUGAUUUCUAAUUCUCAGGUGAGGGUGCUGUGUAGAUAAGGGUGUGGAUAUAUGUACAACAACAAAACAGGUUAUUUUAAGUCACCCAUAUUGAAAAAAAUGUAGAACAAUUAGACACCCUAUAACCCACACCUACACACUCAUGUAUCAAUCUGAUUGUGUUGUGCAGUAAGCAGGCUCAGGUGUAUAACUGUGGCUCCUUCCACCUUCAAAGAAUAGGCAAGAGGGCCAACCAUGGAGAACAGUAAGACACUUCAUUAUUUCUAUGCUAUAUUGUCUGUCCUCGUGUCUGCAUGUUUUUCAGUAUAAAGUACUCUGCAGCCACUUAGUGUGGACACCAGGUGAGGCCACAAGCACAUAUUCCUGUUGAACAAUGUCUCUAACUACCUUAUUUUCUUAACAGUCUCUCUCCUUCACUUCAUCCCGCUCUCCCCUUCUCCCUAAAUCCUCUAGGUUAUAUCAGCUGUCGGUCACUUGGUCAGGUCAACAGGAAGUAUUAUUAAAGAGAUGCUCCACAUUGAAAUACAGAUAGAGAUGCAGUAGUCCCAGAGUUAAUGAUCCAAGGUCAGUUUUGCAUUUCACCUCCUGAUGAUUGAUAACUGACAGUGUUAGAAUAGAAAAAUAAAAAACAAGGCUUAAACAUCUCUCUGUCUCUCGUCUGCAAGUAUGUUUUUUUUAUGUGAGAGGAUGCCAACCCCCAGUCCCGUCAUCGCUACCUCACCCGCUCUUAAGAUAACCUUCGGGUCGACUGGGAGCCCAAGGUUCAUAGCUAGGUUCUGAACUAAUAUGUAUACCAAACGUUACAAAGAUCAGCUACAUAGCUAGCUUCACAUCCAUAGGCAUACAGGUUUUUUUAUUCCCCAUUGCACAAUAAGCAAGAAAUUAGUUACUAGUUACUUUAUUUCACCUAUCUGUAAUGCAUGGCAAAUAUCAGCAAGGCAAGCUUACACAAUUGUACAUUAAAUGUGCAGUAAAUGUUUUAGCUAGCUAGAUUCUUUACAUCCACUGUUUCACAAGACAGCCUGGUUUGUUGGUUGUUUCAGGAGUCCAUACAGCCAGAAUGACAAUGUCAUACUCAUGUCACAACACCCAUAACGCUAACCAGCUAGCUGGCUAAUGUUAGCCAGUCAAAUCGCGAUUUUCGUAAAUAAA